rnacentral:rRNA from 1 species
AGAGUUUGAUUCUGGCUCAGGAUGAACGCUAGCUACAGGCUUAACACAUGCAAGUCGAGGGGCAGCAUUGGAGUAGCAAUACUCAGAUGGCGACCGGCGCACGGGUGAGUAACACGUAUCCAACCUGCCGCUUACUCGGGGAUAGCCUUUCGAAAGAAAGAUUAAUACCCGAUGGUAUAAAGAGUUCGCAUGUUCUCUUUAUUAAAGAAUUUCGGUAAGCGAUGGGGAUGCGUUCCAUUAGAUAGUUGGCGGGGUAACGGCCCACCAAGUCUACGAUGGAUAGGGGUUCUGAGAGGAAGGUCCCCCACAUUGGAACUGAGACACGGUCCAAACUCCUACGGGAGGCAGCAGUGAGGAAUAUUGGUCAAUGGACGAGAGUCUGAACCAGCCAAGUAGCGUGAAGGAUGACUGCCCUAUGGGUUGUAAACUUCUUUUAUAAGGGAAUAAAGUGAGGGACGUGUCCCUUUUUGUAUGUACCUUAUGAAUAAGGAUCGGCUAACUCCGUGCCAGCAGCUGC